rnacentral:rRNA from 1 species
GACGAACGCUGGCGGCGUGCCUAAUACAUGCAAGUAGAACGCUGAAGGAGGAGCUUGCUUCUCUGGAUGAGUUGCGAACGGGUGAGUAACGCGUAGGUAACCUGCCUGGUAGCGGGGGAUAACUAUUGGAAACGAUAGCUAAUACCGCAUAAUAGUAGAUGUUGCAUGACAUUUGCUUAAAAGGUGCAAUUGCAUCACUACCAGAUGGACCUGCGUUGUAUUAGCUAGUUGGUGAGGUAACGGCUCACCAAGGCAACGAUACAUAGCCGACCUGAGAGGGUGAUCGGCCACACUGGGACUGAGACACGGCCCAGACUCCUACGGGAGGCAGCAGUAGGGAAUCUUCGGCAAUGGGGGGAACCCUGACCGAGCAACGCCGCGUGAGUGAGGAAGGUUUUCGGAUCGUAAAGCUCUGUUGUAAGAGAAGAACGAGUGUGAGAGUGGAAAGUUCACACUGUGA